rnacentral:rRNA from 1 species
CAGACCUCUAGUCGGAAAAGACUACCC